GAUGAACGCGGGCGGGGGGAGGAAGAAAGGCAAGUCGAGCGACCAGACGAGGAGCUUGCUCCUCUGACGUUAGCGGCGGACGGGUGAGUAACACGUGGAUAACCUACCUAUAAGACUGGGAUAACUUCGGGAAACCGGAGCUAAUACCGGAUAAUAUAUUGAACCGCAUGGUUCAAUAGUGAAAGACGGUUUUGCUGUCACUUAUAGAUGGAUCCGCGCCGCAUUAGCUAGUUGGUAAGGUAACGGCGGCCCAAGGCAACGAUGCGUAGCCGACCUGAGAGGGUGUACAGCCACACUGGAACUGAGACACGGUCCAGACUCCUACGGGAGGCAGCAGUAGGGAAUCUUCCGCAAAGGGCGAAAGCCUGACGGAGCAACGCCGCGUGAGUGAUGAAGGUCUUCGGAUCGUAAACCUGUUUUGUUAGGGAAGAACAAAUGUGUAAGUAACUAUGCACGUCUUGACGGUACCUAAUCAGAAAGCCCCUGCUCCCUACGUC
rnacentral:rRNA from 1 species